rnacentral:rRNA from 1 species
GACGAACGCUGGCGGCGUGCUUAACACAUGCAAGUCGAACGGGAAGGCCCUGCUUUUGUGGGGUGCUCGAGUGGCGAACGGGUGAGUAACACGUGAGUAACCUGCCCUUGACUUUGGGAUCACUUAAGGAAACUUGUGCUAAUACCGGAUAAGAGCUCCUGCUGCCUGGUGGGGGUUUAAAAGUUUCGCCGGUUGGUGAUGUACUCGCGGUUUAUCCGCAUGUUCGUGGGGUGCUGGCUUACCAAGGCUUUGACGGCUUGCCGGCCUGAGAUGGUGACCGGCUACACUGGGACUAAGCCACGGCCGAGACUCCUAUGGGAUGCAGCAGUGGGGAAAAUUGCCCAACGGGCCGAAGUAUGACGCAGCCACGCCGCGUGUGGAAUGUCGACCUUCGGGUUGUAAACUGCCUUCGAAGGAGACGAAGCGUGAGUGACGGUAAUGGGUAAAGAAGCACCGGCUAACUACGUG